rnacentral:rRNA from 1 species
GACGUAGGGCGCGAGCGUUGUCCGGAUUUAUUGGGCGUAAAGAGCUCGUAGGCGGCUUGUCGCGUCGUUCGUGAAAACCCGGGGCUCAACUCCGGGCUUGCGGGCGAUACGGGCAGGCUAGAGUUCGGUAGGGGAGACUGGAAUUCCUGGUGUAGCGGUGAAAUGCGCAGAUACCAGGAGGAACACCGGUGGCGAAGGCGGGUCUCUGGGCCGAUACUGACGCUGAGGAGCGAAAGCGUGGGGAGCGAACAGG